GACGAACGCUGGCGGCGUGCUUAACACAUGCGAGUCGAACGGUGAAGCGCCUUCCUUUUUGGUGGGUGUGGAUGAGUGGCGAACGGGUGAGUAACACGUGAGUAACCUGCCCCCUUCUUCUGGAUAACCGCAUGAAAGUGUGGCUAAUACGGGAUAUUCUGGGUCUGUCGCAUGAUGGGUCUGGGAAAGAUAUUGUUUCGGUGGGGGAUGGGCUCGCGGCCUAUCAGCUUGUUGGUGGGGUGAUGGCCUACCAAGGCGGUGACGGGUAGCCGGCCUGAGAGGGUGGACGGUCACACUGGGACUGAGACACGGCCCAGACUCCUACGGGAGGCAGCAGUGGGGAAUAUUGCACAAUGGGCGCAAGCCUGAUGCAGCGACGCCGCGUGAGGGAUGGAGGCCUUCGGGUUGUGAACCUCUUUCGCCAGUGAAGCAGGCCUGCCUCGUUUGUGGGUGGGUUGACGGUAGCUGGGUAAGAAGCGCCGGCUAACUACGUG
rnacentral:rRNA from 1 species